AAAAAGAAUAAUUCUUUUUGUGACCCUGCGGCGCAUAACCAGUCCGCAGGGGUGAAUAAGGGAACCGGGUGAAAAUCCCGGACGGAACCGCCGCUGUAAGUGCCGAUAAUCAAAGCUCGUCGACGAAAGUCGGUCACUGGGAACCUGGGAAGGCAGAGCUUGAUUGGCAGAAAUACUGUCUGCCGAAGCGCAAGUCAGAAGACCUACAAAAAGAAUUUUGCUUGC
rnacentral:ncRNA from 1 species